AGGGAGGGGAUUAAAAAAAAAAAAAGGAAAGGAAAGAAAACCACCCCAGCCCGCAUCUUCGCGCCAGUCUUCGCUUUCCCUCCCUCCCUGUCGGGCUGAGCCGAGCCGCAGCAUUCCCACUCCGCGAACGGAUCAGACCCACUUAAGCGGAGUCGUUGCUGCUUCGCCACCAGCAUGGCUACUCCCGCGGCGCCCCUACAUGAUACCGACAGCCACAUGGACCCCUUCACUUACGACUACGACACGCUGCGCUUGGUGGGGCUGAUCUUGGCUAUCGUCAUGUUUGUGCUGGGAAUCGUUAUAGCCCUGAGUAAAAAAUUCAAGUGUAAAAAAUCUGACCCCAGCCUGUCGGACCCUCGGGCAGCAGGCAAGACUCCUACUCCAGCCGGCAGUGCGUAGGUGCCGUCACCAGGAUGUGCUGCCCCCAACUGGCUGGGGGAUGAACUGCGCCCAGGACAUUUCUUCUAAGACCUUGGCACCGACUGCCCGGGAGGGGGAGGGGCUCUCCGUUCUAUCCUCAACAAGGGAGGGGCAAUUUUAUAACCAGUUAGCUCUUGCGCUUCCAUUGCAUGAUGGGAGCAGGCACCUGGGUGGGGGUGGGGUAGGAUGCAGGCCAUGAGGUGGCAGGUACCUCUGCCUGUCGAUUUCAUUGGGCACCCACCCUGCUCGGGGCUGGUUCCUAUAAGCCCCCAACCCCCAGAAACGGUCCCUUAAACUGCAAUAAUGCUGCCUGCUGCCAUCCUCUGGCAAACCUUGACCCAACAUGCCCACUUGCUGCUGGGCACAAUAGACAUGCCAUUGCUACUGCUGCUAUUGUUGCUGCUACUGCUUUGCUUUCUAUGCCUCCUGCUAUGCUAUAAAGUCCAAGGUUAGCCACAAAGGGAACUGGGAUGCUCCAAAGAGCCAUCCGCCCCCCCUGUGCUGGACACAUAAAGGCCUAGCCCUUUAUGGGGUGGGGUGUCUGGUCACCCAUUAGGCCAAGUACAGGACCAGCCAGGAAAUAGUAUUUAGCAAGUGAGGGUGAGCUAUUGUGACAAUACUCUCCAGUUCCCCUAGGGGGUGCUGCUCACAGUUUCUCCUUGCAGAACUAUCCACAUCUCCAUGUCUCAUUCACGCAUGGAGCAAAAUUUGAACAGAUAAUAAAUGUGGGGUUUUCUAACUAAUCUUUGCCUUG
rnacentral:lncRNA from 1 species